UUGGGUUGACGCGUUGAUUAUAAACUUUUUUUGUAUUUAUCAUCAUGGCAAUAAUAAUUUAUCCUUUAAAAUUAACUUGUCUUAUGUUCAACCUUUUUGACUUGUAAUCUAUUUAAACAUGUUAUUUUUAAUUACUUAAUUUAUUAACAGUUUACUUAGGUAAUUAUUAAUCUUUUAUUAUUAUAGUACUUCUAUUAUUACUAGUCACUACCAGGUGUGGUUAAAUUUUAAUUUUGGUAUUUUAUUUAUACUCGGCUGUAACCCAUUGAAUGUUUGUUUCUGAAAAACAAAAAAAAAAUUAUUCAAGGCUUUGGUGUUCUUAAAAAACCCAUUUACAUAUGAAUGCCUAUUGUCGGAGAAAACCUCAAUCAUUGGUUUUUGAAAAAACGCCAAGACUCUUAAAUAUCUAAGCAAAUCACAGUUGGGUAUAUGAAGAACACCAUUUUUUAUUAUUAUUCGAGAGGUGACAAAAACAUCCAGGCUAGUUGUUUAAGACUGUGGGGUGUGGAGCGACUUGGGUUGGGGGUAUUGCUCGACACGUGGUAAAUGUGGGCUCCAACAGUCCACACCCAAAAAAAUGGGGUGUGGGAGUGGCAUGGCCAGGCCGGCGUGGGGUGCCAUGUGGGUUUUUUAAGGUUGACAAUUAUAUAAAAACACAACUUAUUAAUUGAAAAAAAAGUUACAUAAAAAAACCUAUUUAACAAAUCCUAAAAAAUAAAAAAAACCUACUUAUUA
rnacentral:lncRNA from 1 species